GGAAAGAGCCCAGCACUGAAUCCCGCGACUGUCACGGCCGCGGGAGAUGUGGUGUUCGGGAGGUUCCGCUUUCUCGUCGUCGCGUCUCCUGUCCAAGUUCGUCUUGAACGGGGCCCUUUACCCAUAGAGGGUGCCAGGCCCGUAGAGACGGAGGGCGGCGGCGAGAGGGACUCUCCUCAGAGUCGGGUUGCUUGAGAGUGCAGCCCUAAGUGGGUGGUAAACUCCAUCUAAGGCUAAAUAUUACCGCGAGACCGAUAGCGAACAAGUACCG
rnacentral:rRNA from 1 species